ACUACUCACCCCGACGUUUUCUAAACGACGGGCGUGGACUUGGGUGUCUGCCUUUGUUGGCUCACCUUAAAUGGAUUAGUGGAUGAGUCAGUCAUCUGGACGUGAUACGUUUCGUCUGUGAAGGCUGGUCUGGUCUGCUCCUAACCUUGACUUUCGGGUCAACCCCAUUUGUU
rnacentral:misc_RNA from 1 species